CUCGUACAUCUAGGUACUGCACACGGGUACCUACGCUGGAGUGGACGGGGGAGGGCGGAUAUUUGGACGGCAGCUGGUGUGGUGGAGGGUUCACCUGAGGAAGUAAGGUAAGGCAAGGUAAAGGUAUGCAAAGAAGGAGUUCAGUUCACCGAGAGCUAGGGUGGUGGUUGUAGAAGACAGGCAUCUGGCAUCGAAGGACCACGGACGUCCACCAUCGAUAGAAGGCACAAGUGUAGAGGUAGCUACUUCUGCUUCGUCCGAAGGUUCCGGUUCCGCCGCGGCAGCGGCCCCUUCCUCCUCCUUCGUCAACGUGGCCCCCCAAAGGCCUUCCCUGGUACCUGCCUCGUCCUCCUGUACUUCGACCGCACCAAGCACGCCGAGAAGCCGCUCGCGGCGACCCUAAAGAAUCGAUUCCACAGUCCAGAGUUGGCCUGCCCCUUCUCGACGGCCGAGGCCACCCAGUUGAUGGACGUGGGCCUGGAGUUCGCGCCGGCCUACUCGGGGCUUCUCCUCGCGGAGCAGCAGCUGGAGGUGCGGGCGACCCCGUUGGCGACCAGGGCGUAGCGGUUCCGGUACGGCCCGGCGUGGCUGUUGCUCUAGUUCUUGAUGACCGCGUGGGUGUGGGCGUUCGAGGUGUUCCUGUGCGCGCGGCGGAGACGACGAAGCCGGAGGUGCUGGUGCUGGUGCAGGUGCAGGUACAGCCGCCGCAGAGGCCGGUGGUGCAGGUCGAGGAGGAGGAGGAGUUGCUUGCUGUUGCUAUUGGUGAGCGUAGUGCCGGUGCCGCUGGUUCUCUGCCGCCGGUCGGUCCUUGUUCGUCUAGUGGUCGACGAGAUGUGGAGGCCGUAGCCGUACCUGUCGGUGGAGGAAACCUUGCUGCGGGAGUACCUGAGGAUGCGUACCCCUCGCCGGCGCGGCAGAUACUAUCACGGCGGCGGAAGUAGCGGCCACACCCUGAUGACGACGAGCCUAAGCGAGACCCCUUAUCCACUGCUGCUCCAGCUCAUGUUCUUCUACGAGCGGCAGCGGCCACGGGGUACUAUAAAAUAGUAUGUAGUAGCUAGAAAGGAAUCAGUUAAUAUCUACGGUUGAUCGACUUCUACGAAUGCACGUACGCAGGUUCAGUAUAGGAUCGACUCUGCUCUGAAUUAUACAUGGUCACUAGGUAGUCACGUACGGACGGAACCCUAAAUACGAAAACAUGUACAUUAGAUCGAGGUACACAUACAUACUAUCUCAUUAUUCAUGUGUAUACGUACAUCAAUAAACAUAAUCAUAUUAAAAAUUAUAGAGGAAUUACAAAAUCGUUACAUAUUAUCCGAUGAUCAACAUGAUGUGUAUAUGAUCAGGAACUCUUAAGUCUACCUGAAACAUUUCUUUAUUUCUAAACUGGUGGUACUCAUAUAGAGGAG
rnacentral:rRNA from 1 species